GCAGAUACACUUUAUCUCCCAACAUGCCAUUCUUUCUUCUCAAAAACACUUUAGGAGCCAAAAUGAAAAAAGGCAUAAGAACAUUCUGCAACAGUGAUGGAUCAACCUCAACACUGAAUCAACAAAAUAGUACUAUUGGCAAUAUUGGAGGUGACAUCACAAGUAGCAAGGUAAGCUCACCUUUUUUGCAAUGCGAUGAACAUUCAAAUUCAAAUUCGAAGCAGAACACACCGACACUCGAAGAUUUGAUACUACAAUUAGAAAUGGAGGAAGAGUUAGCAAGGAAAGAAAAGCUAAAUGAAUAUAGUGGAAUAAAAGGAAGAAUGUCAUGUGUUAACAACUCUGACAUAUUGAGAUCUGCAAGGAAUGCUUUGAAUCAAUAUCCAAGGUUUUCACUUGAUGGAAGAGAUUCAAUGUAUAGAUCAUCUUUU
rnacentral:lncRNA from 1 species